rnacentral:rRNA from 1 species
GACGAACGCUGGCGGCGUGCCUAAUACAUGCAAGUCGAGCGGACUUUCAAGAAGCUUGCUUUUUGAAAGUUAGCGGCGGACGGGUGAGUAACACGUGGGCAACCUGCCUGCAAGACGGGGAUAACUCCGGGAAACCGGGGCUAAUACCGGAUAAUAUCUUCCUUCGCAUGAAGGAAGGUUGAAAGGCGGCGCAAGCUGCCGCUUGCAGAUGGGCCCGCGGCGCAUUAGCUAGUUGGUGAGGUAACGGCUCACCAAGGCGACGAUGCGUAGCCGACCUGAGAGGGUGAUCGGCCACACUGGGACUGAGACACGGCCCAGACUCCUACGGGAGGCAGCAGUAGGGAAUCUUCCGCAAUGGACGAAAGUCUGACGGAGCAACGCCGCGUGAGCGAAGAAGGUCUUCGGAUCGUAAAGCUCUGUUGUCAGGGAAGAACAAGUACCGUUCGAACAGGGCGGUACCUUGACGGUACCUGAACAGAAAGCCACGGCUAACUACGUG